rnacentral:siRNA from 1 species
CAGCUCGCUGCGUGCAAUCCGC